rnacentral:rRNA from 1 species
GACGAACGCUGGCGGCGUGCCUAAUACAUGCAAGUGGGCCGCAAGGACACACACUGUGCUUGCACACCGUGUUUUCUUGAGUCGCGAACGGGUGAGUAACGCGUAGGUAACCUGCCUCUUAGCCGGGGAUAACUAUUUGUGACGAUAGCUAAUACCGCAUAAUUUUAAUUAUUACAUGAUAAUUGAUUGAAAUAUGCAAGCGCAUCACUAGUAGAUGGACCUGCGUUGUAUUAGCUAGUUGGUAAGGUAAGAGCUUACCAAGGCGACGAUACAUAGCCGACCAGGGAAGGAGAGCGGCCACACUGGGAAGGAGACACGGCCCAGAGUGCUACGGGAGGCAGCAGUAGGGAAUCCUCGGCGAUGGACGAAAGACUGACCGAGCAACGCCGCGUGAGUGAAGAAGGUUAUCGGAUCGGAAAGAUCAGUUGUAAGUGAAGAACGUGUGUGAGAGUGGAAAGUUCACACAGUGACGGUAGCUUAACAGAAAGGGACGGCUAACUACGUG